CGACGAGCCCAGCAGCGCAGCGGUCGCUGAUGUCGUGCGAGAGCUCGGAGAGGAAGAUGCAAAUUCGGAUGCAGAGCCUGAUUCAGCCUUUGCUCUUCCAGUCACAAAGAUAUCAGCACGUUACCUAAUAUAGAACGUGUGUUUAAGUGAUGAUGCAGCAUUGUGGUAGGAAGCGCUGUCUGACAGGUGUGAUCUUGUCAAGGGUACAUAUCAGAUAUUUUAUUCCCUCAAAGUGGGUACCCAGUCCCUCUGAUUGUGACAACUAAGAACAAGUUAUGAAAAACUAUCACACGGACAUGGUUUGUGUAUUCAAGUAGCGCUGAUAUCACUUUUGGAGAGAAAAAAUAUUUGAACAGUGCUGGUUAUCGUUACUGGAAGAAUAUCGGGACCAAUUUGAAAGCACAUGAGCGUUGUAGUGAGCAUUCACAAAACAUGGACAGUUGGCGCCACCUUGCGGGAAGAUUGAAAACAGGCACAACCAUUGAUGUAAUCAACUGGAUUGGCGGCAAGGGGGAUCGCAUCCUGACCAAGCCCCUGGGAAGAAGUGCUGGCUUGGUUGCUCUGUUUGUUGCCUACUUCAAAAUGUACUAGAGGGGUGGGGUUUAAGUCCUUAUUUAAUCUCCUGAAGUUAUUUUCACCUAUCGGCUCUUAUUUACGUGUGUGUAGAUAGAUGGAUAACUCGGUUCAGUCAAGGUAGAGGGAGGGAUGGAGACUUCCAGCUAGAUGGGGAGGCGCUCACAUGCAUUGCCAUCCAUGAUGACCCAGGUCCAUUAUCCAAUGAAAUUAGGCAUCAACUCUGAACUGGGCUGGACAGCGUGUUCCUCAGCGAAGGCGAGGCGUCGCAACAUCCAGUGGGCGAACUCUGUCGGUUCACGCUGGGUUCAUAGCCAAAAGAAGUGUCCCAUCGGUCAAGAAAAAUGACACUGCUGACGAAAGUAGACUCACCACCUGCGUAGUGCUGGGCAAUAUGGCCUAAACAUCAUAUCACUAUUCUAAAAUCAUUAGAUUUAAACACCAAUUGUUACUUAUAACAGUAAAGUCAGUCACCAUGAGACUGCGUGGCUUUCAUUUAAUAAGCUUAUGGGCGACUCACAACAUACUGUAUAUCUAAAUUGUAAUGUUCUCUAAGCUUUGUUGUACAAUUAAACGGUCAAAUACGCUGCAUUUCAAACAGUCAGCAAUAAUCUAAUGAAAUCAGGACUUGUGAAAGUAUUCCUAGGAUAAAUAUAAGUCUUCCACAACCAUAAGACCAACUAAUGAUAUUAUUUUAUCAAAAUAGUUCAAUUUUCUUUUGUGCAAUCAUUGAUCUGGUUUUCAAGUCUGUCUAUGAAAAUGCCCUUGUUACAAAUGUUUUAUUCAGAACCAUGCAUAAUGCACAUUCACUAAUAAAUGAUUCACUUCUUGUAGGAGGCAUUAUAGAAAAUUAACACAGGUUUUGUAAACACUCUCUCAAACACAAGCCCACAUGCUAGUGAGUAUUUCAAGUUUAGCCAACUUGGAUCUACUUGUUAGCUAACAAGGCAGAACAGUUGAAUUGUUAUGAACACCAUUCUGUCCAUCUCCAGCUAUUUGAACAGCAUGCUAGCCUGUCCACUUUGUUCAGAUGUUGAAAUCAAGUGGCCUACCUUAUUUCUCAGAAUGAGAACUAGUUGCCAAUUCCCUAUAUCAUUGUGUUUUAUGCUUAUUGCACAUUUGUAAAAGACAGUAGAAGUCUUUGGCUAAAAUGCUACUAGUGGUGCAUGGUAGUACCCCAAUGCCGCACGCAAACACACUGGGCAUUCUUUCACUAGCACACCGUUUUUUACCUACAGUACAUUCGUAAAGUAUUCAGACCCCUUGACCUUUUCCACAUCGGAACCACCAAGACGCUACCUAAAGCUGUCCGCCCGA
rnacentral:lncRNA from 1 species